rnacentral:ribozyme from 1 species
GCUGAGAUCUCUUGUGCGAAGAUCAACACGUCCUACCCUCUCCAAGAAGCGUGUCUGUUCGGGUGUGGAAUCAGCACCGGCCUCGGAGCUGUCUGGAAUACCGUUCAAGUCCAUCCAGGGUCCACAGUCGCGGUGUUCGGCAUCGGAGCAGU